rnacentral:rRNA from 1 species
CACGUAGGGCGCAAGCGUUGUCCGGAAUUAUUGGGCGUAAAGAGCUCGUAGGCGGUCUGUUGCGUCCGCUGUGAAAACUCGGGGCUUAACCCCGAGCCUGCAGUGGAUACGGGCAGACUAGAGGUAGGUAGGGGAGAAUGGAAUUCCCGGUGUAGCGGUGAAAUGCGCAGAUAUCGGGAGGAACACCGGUGGCGAAGGCGGUUCUCUGGGCCGAUAUUGACGCUGAGGAGCGAAAGCGUGGGGAGCGAACGGG